AUAUUCUUUAUAAUAUAUGUGUAUUUAUUUUAUAACUACACAUGUUUUACUUGGUGGAAAUUCUAAAAUAAAGUUUUGUGUUUGUGCGACCGACUUGAAAGAAUUAAACUUCACGUUUUCUGACAACGUGAAUAUCCAUAAGCAAAAAGAGACUAUUUUCUAAGAAUCAUCAUUUUUUCUGUAGUUCCACAGAACAGAAGUCUACAGAACAGAACAUAAUAGUCCACAAACACAGAAUUUCAGACAGAAUUUUCUCAGUAUUAACCUCUAAGACUAUCAAAUAAUGAUUAUUAUUAUAGUUAUAUUUUACAACAGAAGUGUAACUUCUAUGAACCAAGCGUCUAGCGACAACCGGCUAUAGUAGACCAACUCGGAAGAGAACGAGUCCAUUUGUCAUAACUGUUUUUAAACUCGUUGACAGAAUUAGCGGCAACUUAUGAAACAGGCAAAGCAUUCCAUGUUGGUGCGACUCGAGUUUUGAAGAAAUUGUGUCUUUGACUGUUUUUUAUUUGAAUUGAAUUUUAUGCUUUGCGCUACGAAGACUACUUGCAGGACCAUCACGUGUGAAAGAAGUCGCUCGUUUACAUUUUUGAUGCCAGUUAACUUUAAAUUUAUAACUAAUAAAACUGACAUUCGUUCCUUGAUAAACAAAAAUGGAAUUCACUUAACUAUACAAAAAAAAAAAAAUGAAUCAGUUUGUUUUUUUUAA